UACGUAGGGGGCAAGCGUUUGUCCGGAUUUAUUGGGCGUAAAGAGCGUGUAGGCGGCCAGACAGGUCCGUUGUGAAAACUCGAGGCUCAACCUCGAGACGUCGAUGGAAACCGUCUGGCUAGAGUCCGGAAGAGGAGAGUGGAAUUCCUGGUGUAGCGGUGAAAUGCGCAGAUAUCAGGAAGAACACCCGUGGCGAAGGCGGCUCUCUGGGACGGUACUGACGCUGAGACGCGAAAGCGUGGGGAGCGAACAGG
rnacentral:rRNA from 1 species